ACGCGAGUCUAUCUCCGACUUCCCCGGGAGCAGUCUCUUCGCGCCUUGAAGUCCCCAAGCUCUGCGAAGUCAAACUCUUAGUCUUCACUUUAUUGCCUAACUUCGCACGAAGUAACCCAUGUUUUAUUUUAAGCCUGUCACGUGUCUCUGUGAAUUCUAAAGACUUAAGAAGCUGUUGGUGUCUGAGAGGAACGCAGACCAGAGGACAACACACCUACCACACUUGACCACACACCUGACCAGAGGUGACUCUUGUUCUUUCAAGUCUAAGCAUGGGGAUGUGUGCUCUCAGGGAUAAGCUAACCUGAGACUACUUGGCUUUUCUCCAAUUGGAGAAUUCCAAGGAUGGUGGAAGCAUAUGAAUAAAGAUAGAACAGUACAGUUCUAUCUUUAUGUGUACUGGUACUUCCAGGAGAGUUCCAUUUAAAUACCGCCCCCCACCCCACCUUCUUAAGGGAGAUGACAGUAGCCCUGGGCUAUAGAUCUGCAUGAACAAAAGAUCUGCCAUCCUGCCUGAGAGAGAUGGCUAAAGUGGAAAAGAGAAUGAUCUCACCUGAGCAGCUGACACCCAAACAGUCACCAAUCUCAGACCACAUCUAAUAUUUUCCUCCACUACUCCUAUCACCCGUCUUACAACUAGAACUACUAUGGAGAAACCCCUUGCUCCGAUGAAUAAUCACACCAGAAUGGUUUCUAAGCCAAGGCAGAAGCAUCUAGCAACAGGGGCUGGAGGACAAGAGGGCAUAAGUAUUGAGUGUGACAAAUACCCUCCAAGCAGAUCUCCACUUGGUCUGACUUCCAACAAAGUGUUUGAAGCUACUCUGGGAAAGCCCUGUCCCAGAUUCAGGAUUGGAAAUGCAAGGUACUGGAGUCUUCUAGCAUCAGCCCCUCUGGUUCCCUUACCUCCAUUGUGUCAUUUUUGGAAGAUGCUGCACUCUGAUUCAAUCAACAGAAUAAAGAACAAUUAUUCUCAAGCAGAAAAAGCCAAGUCAGGUAAAACUGCAAAGUUCCUAAGAACAUGACAUCUGUGUCUAGGACCAAGAGAAACCUGAAGACCCCAGAAAUCUGUAAGAUGUUAAAGAGGGGCCAAGUCCCUGCUUGCAGAGGUGACAGGCCUGAAAUCAUACAUGCUAUAUAUGAGACUCAUUCCUGAUGCAUCUGUUCUUUCCAAACCUUCCCUUUGGGUUUCUCCCCAGAAUUUUAUACAAUGGAUCUUUUAGAGCCACAAAUCCUUUUUGGAAUAACAAGUAGGUAUAAAAGCCCAUCAUUUUUGCUGUGAUAUCCCUCCAGUCUACUUCUUUUGUACUUUCAGUACAAUCAGUGGCAUCUUGGCACUUGCUUUGUGAUGGGACUGAUGCGAUCAUCUUCAAACUGUUUUCUCAGAUGCCUGCCUUUUCCAGCUCCAAUAUAUCCUACAUACCUCUGCUAGACUACCCCCCCCCGCAGAAACCCCCACCAAUUUCACCACUUCCUUUCUGUGAUUUAACAAUCUGUGACUGUUCACUAAUAAAUCCAAACACUGUUCAGUCAGGUUUUCGUUUUGUACCUCAUGAGACUUUUCUCUGUCCACAGGGCAAAGCUGCUCUCCUCACUGCCCUUCCAGGAUUUAUCCUGGAGAAGCUAUUUUAGUUUUAAUAUUACUUUCCACUGCCUGUGGCACUCUUGUCACUUGUCUCUCAGAAGCAAACUCCGCUCCUUCAUGAAAUCUCUAGCCUAAGAAAUCCUUACCUUCUGAAUACCAGUGACACUGAAUGAAACUGCCUUCAUGUUAGAUAAACAGGGUGAAACAAAGGGAGAAGACCUGCUUUCAAGGCCUAUUUGUAUUUCUUUCCUAGGACUAGAAAAAUAGAAUGUAAGGACUUUGUUUUUACUGGCAUCUACCUUCUUUCUAAUUAGGUAACCAGUAUUCUCUGGUUUACCAACAGGAAGAAAGGAACGUGAGAAGCCCUGUGGCAACUGAGUAGGGCCCUUGGCCUAUAGAGACAUCACAACUGUUCAUGCUGGAGCAGUGUCAACUCUGAAAUGGAAUAGUAGUAUCAGGUGAUGACUAACCUGUGGAAUCAUAAAUGUCUCCACUUCGGCAUGAUCACUAAUACCGGCAACCCAAAACAUACUGGUUUUUUAUACUCAUUAAUGGUGUCCUGGUAACACGCACACUUCAUAAUUAAAUUCAGUUAACAUCAAUAACAAAUACAUCACCAGUUGACUACUUAUGCACACAGCCAUUCAAUGACACUCCAAAAAAACCCAAUAAAAUCCACUGUUUAUGGAUAA